UGGACCAACAUGAGAGUUUUCAUGAACCAGGAUUACGAUUAAUCUAAUUCUACGCGCUUGAGAUCCAAA
rnacentral:snoRNA from 14 species